rnacentral:tRNA from 1 species
GCCGAGGUGGUGAAACUGGUAGACACGCAAGUUUCAGGUACUUGUGGAGGAAACUCCUUGGAGGUUCGAGUCCUCUCCUCGGCACCA